CUGUAGAUGAUCUUUGCACAGCCCGAGAUUCUGAUGUAGCCACACAAGCGCCUGACCUCUAUCGGUAUCCACUCGGAUAGGAUCUAGAACGUCUUCUCCUUACGAAUCUAUGCUCCAAAAAUUAGAUCUAAAUCUGAUUAGGAAGUGCUUCAGAACUCCUUCUGAAGUUGGAGCAGCAGCUUGUCGAAGAUGUCCGGCAGCCUUCUAUUCCAGGCG
rnacentral:lncRNA from 1 species